rnacentral:lncRNA from 1 species
GGGUGACACUGCCGGGUGCAGGGCACGGCUGUGGGCUCUGCCCUCCACCUCCAUUUUCUCCCGUUGCCACCGAAGUGACCAUUUUCCGCCUUGGUUCCAAGCCGUGAGCGCAGCGCUGCUCUCACCCCCAGCUGGACACAGGGAAGAGGAGGAAUGCAACCAGGCAGGUUUGUGCAAACACAGGCACUGCGUGGUCCCUCUCGGUCUUUAGUCUGUUCAGCACUGCCUACAAACUGCCCUGACGAAGUGGAAAAUGCAGUCACCGGUGCUGGGUCUCAUCCGGUGCUGCUUCCCCUCCCUGUGCAGCACCUGGCGGGCCCCCGCUCCCCGCCUGCUCACAGAGCCCAGGUGAAAACCAGCGGUCUGAGGCUCUGUGCUGGCAGGGAGGAGCGAGCAGAUGGUGCCCUAAAAUCGCCGUGCCCCGACGAGUGAGAUACUGAUCGUUUCCGAAGCUCUCGAGAUAUUUUUUCCAGCUCCUGCUGAGCCUGGCGAGCGCCGUAAUUGCAGCUUGGACUGGCUGGAGAGGGCAAUACCCGGAUGGGCUCCCUGCCUUCCCCGCUGUAAUUGGGCCCUGGUGAUACAAAGCACAAAGCUCUUUCCUUCCUGUUUGCUGCUCUCCCUCUGUGAAACCUUCCCCUGCCUGUGCUGUGCAUGCUGGAAAAUAUGUAAAUACCAGGGCACAGGAGAAUGACUCCCUCGUGCCUGCGCCGCGUCUGAAAUCCCCAUUAAAAAUAUAUGUUCCAAAAAGAGCACCUCUGCACCAAAGCAGAAGCUCUCCCGGCAAUGAGGGGC